rnacentral:rRNA from 1 species
UACGUAGGGGGCAAGCGUUGUCCGGAAUCAUUGGGCGUAAAGGGCUCGUAGGCGGUUCGUCACGUCGGGAGUGAAAACUCGGAGCUUAACUCCGAGCCUGCUUCCGAUACGGGCAGACUAGAGGUAGGCAGGGGAGAGCGGAACUCCUGGUGUAGCGGUGGAAUGCGCAGAUAUCAGGAAGAACACCGGUGGCGAAGGCGGCUCUCUGGGCCUUACCUGACGCUGAGGAGCGAAAGCGUGGGUAGCGAACAGG